AGCCGCCUCCGGAUUUCUGCUCCCUUCUGGCGCAAUCCCAAGAACAGCUUUCGUUGCCAAGUUCGGUUUUAUGGCAUCGCAGAGAAUGAGACCUGGACAAGUACCCUGAGCAAACCUGUCACUCAGAAUGUCAGUGACCAGAUCUGGGGAAAGGCAGAUUGCGGGAUCACCUCUGAGUCCUAUCAGGAUAGUAUCCAGUCUGCCACCUUUUUGUAUGAAAUCCUCCUGGGGAAGGCUAUGCUAUAUGGUCUGCUGGUCAGUAUCCUGGUGUUGAGAACCAUGGCCAAGAAAAACUAUUCUUGAAGCCAGCUGUGGACCAGAGAGCAGAGUUCUAAGAGCAAAGGACCUUCAUUCUUUCAUCACCCCAGCUUGGCUCCUCCUUUAUCCAUUUCCAGCCUGUGUUCCAGAAUAAUUGUUCUUCCUUCUCUCCUCAUCUGUAUCCCUCAUAAAAUUCCUCAAAGAGAACUAUGUAAGCCAGAAGGGGCAAAGGUGGUGGAUUAAUCUGAAAGCAAUAAAAAUAUCUU